CGCAUAAUGCAGCGGCACCUCGGGUACAGUUGUUAAAGCGGGGGACCCUCGGGGCCUCGCGUCUGAAGAGAAGCCCGCGGCGGAUUAGCUAGUUGGUGAGGUAAAGGCUCACCAAGGCGACGAUCCGUAGCCGGCCUGAGAGGGCGGUCGGCCACACUGACACUGACAUACGGGUCAGACUCCUACGGGAGGCAGCAGUCGGGAAUUUUGGGCAAUGGGCGCAAGCCUGACCCAGCAACGCCGCGUGAAGGAUGAAGUUUCUCGGAAUGUAAACUUCACAAGAAUGGGAAGAAUAAGACAGGGCUAACACCUUUGUUGAUGACGGUACCAUUUGUAAGCUCCGGCUAACUCCGUGCCAGCAGCCGCGGUAAUACGGGGGGAGCAAGCGUUGUUCGGAUUUACUGGGCGUAAAGGGCGCGUAGGCGGCGCAACAAGUCACUUGUGAAAUCUCUCGGGCUUAACUCAGAGCGGUCAAGUGAUACUGUCGUGCUUGAGUGCGGAAGGGGCAACUGGAAUUCUCGGUGUAGCGGUGAAAUGCGUAGAUAUCGAGAGGAACACCUGCGGCGAAGGCGGGUUGCUGGGCCGACACUGACGCUGAGGCGCGAAAGCUAGGGGAGCGACG
rnacentral:rRNA from 1 species